rnacentral:rRNA from 1 species
CACGUAGGAGGCAAACGUUAUCCGGAUUUACUGGGCGUAAAGCGCGUGUAGGUGGUUCUGUAAGUAGGGCGUGAAAGCUCCCGGCUCAACUGGGAGAGGCCGUUCUAAACUGCAGAGCUAGAGGAUGGUAGAGGGAGGUGGAAUUCCAGGUGUAGCGGUGGAAUGCGCAGAUAUCUGGAGGAACACCAGUGGCGAAGGCGGCCUCCUGGACCAUUCCUGACACUCAGACGCGAAAGCUAGGGUAGCAAACGGGAUUAGAUACCCGGGUAGGUCCCUGA